CGUGGCUCGUGGAGGUGGCUCGCAGCCCUGUCACCACGCGGUUCUUAUGUUUGUGCAAGGCUGGCGCUCGCCCUGGGUCUGGCUCCUCUUUGGCGCGAUCGAAAUGUCCUCCACCUGACGGCGGUAGCAGGUGUCCGCUGUUGCCCGCGGUUACGGAGGCCUGGCGCGCGUACGUGUCGUCCGGGGCAGUGCGUUUUGUUUUUUUUCGCAGAGAGCAAGAGGGGUCGGCCAUUUUGGGAAGAGUUUUGAGGGCCAGCGUUGCCAACCCGAAACAGAGAGUCGCAUGCGCCCCCCUGUGCCAACGCUCCCUCAGUGUUUCAACUGGACCCGCCGGCCAGAACUGGUGGCGGUCCGGUCGACUUUUCUCGCCCGUUGUAUUUUUCACGCUGUUCCCACGAAGUGAAAAGCCGUUCUGUUUCCACGGCGACCUUCAGAAACCCCCCAGCCAUGUUUCUGUCGGGUUUUUGUCGUUCGUGAACGUCGAGGUGCUUGAGUUUCUUCCCCGGUUCUGUUUGUGUGGCGUGCGUGUGUGUGUGUGUGUGUGUGUGAUGUGGAAAGUGAUGAGAAAAUCUACGCCGCCUGCGUUGAAUGUGUGGAGGCCGUUCACUGAACUCUUCACCGCGUCUCUGAUUGGCUGUUCGCCGUAAUGUCCGAGUCCUGCCGCUCGUUCCUGUGUGUUCUGCACUCUAGUCUGAUACCCUCUCCACUCAGCCAACGUGCCAUAAAACAUGCUUUUACUCUGAAGAGGUGUAAUAGGAAAGAAAGACCUCAAUGUAUUUUCUGCCUUAAUUUCGAUCUGUCCUUGCAUGGGAUGGUCCAAUAUUUCUGUCACUGUAAAGUCCUUGGGUGGUUAUUACACGGGACCACUCGUACUGCUGGAGUCAUUUCAUAACCCUUAUGGCGUAAGCUGCUCCUGUCCGAAGCUCACGGAAUGCUGCCGCUAAUUCUUCCCGUGGGUCAGAAUCCAGUGUGUGUGUGUGUGUGUGUGUGUGUGUGUGUGUGUGCCGAGCUCUGCGCUGACGUUGUGUGUGUGUGUGUGGGAUGACUAUCGCUCUCUGUUACACCAGGUAGAAUGUUCUAAUGGUCGUCAGGUGUCCUCGUGUUGACUGCCUCCAUAUCAGGAUUUUACUCGCCGAACCCAGGGUUUCCAGGGAAACAUCUCUCUCUCUCUCACUCGCUCUCUCUCUCUCUCUGCGCGAUAAGUUCAGAUGCACCAUUAGCUUUUCACACAAGAAAAUGGCACUCUGACUAAGAGAGAGAGAGAGAGAGAGAGAGAGAGAGGCUGCAGCUGUUUUCUCAGUGUUUCAGCAGGCCGCAGAUAGCAGAUGAUUACAGUCUUAAUUCACUAGAGAAAGGAAGGAACACCCCCCACCCCCCCCACCCCCCUCAGGAGAGAUAAUGGUACGACCCGCAUGCUGCUGAGAGCAACUGCGUCCUCUCGGUUUUCAGGACUUGACGUCAUGUGGUGCGUCCUCCAAUCAGAAGGAGGCUGAUUGCCUGGAGCGAGACAGGCUGCUCUUCUAUUCUGUGCGUGUGUGUGUGUGUGCGCGUGUGUGUAGGGACAUGCUGGACACAUUGCAUUCUGGGAAGAAAAGUCAAAAUGCAGGAACAUGUUGAAACCCUGUCAGUAAUUUCGUCUUAAUUGCCAGUGUUUUGAGUGACCUUUUCUCCCACCUCAUCUGGCAUUUGUGUUCAUUCUGCUGUCUCUCUGUAUAUUGCUGUUUGUGAAUUGUACUGUAACAAGGGGAAAUAAUCAACUCUUUAUGAGAAAAAAAAAACAAAAGAAAAAAUCUUAUAUAUUAUUAUAUAGAGAGAAACGUAUAUGAUGUACAUGUGAAUUAUGGUUUUCUCGGACUGAAAAUGAAUACAAAAAGCAACAAAAGAAAAAUAAAGAAUAUAUAUAUAACAGUGCUCUUAUUUAUUUUCUCAUUAUUAUUCAGUGAAUCACUGUAUAUUAGGUAAAUCAUGUGCUGCUUACUCAAUAUCUUCUGUUGUCCUUCUGCAUUUUACUGUCGUUUAGCACCACUUUGAUGCUUUAUUUGAUUUUUGUUUUUCCAUUUCAAGAGCUGAGGAGUCCGUCCAAAUAAUCGCGAAGGUUGAGGGGAGAGAGCAUUUGGUCGCAAUUCAAUUUACACAUUUAACCCUGCUGGAGCAAUUUUAAGUGAUAGGUGGAUAACAAAAGAAAUGGUUAGUAGUUAACUGGGAAAAGUUAUGUUUUUGAUGAUUGUACAUAGUUGCUAAUUCCAGGCAUUUAGCUAAACGCAGUGAAGGCUCAUGGGUAAACGGAAAGUCUGUGUGAUAACAGAGACUGCUCUUCGGAUUUGUCUGUCCAUGAGAUCGUUCGCAGGGUAUUUAUGAGUGUAACACAAAAAAUCCGAGAAUAGACGAUACUAUUUAUGUUUGCGAAAGUCACACGUUUCGCAAGUUUCCGAGAAGCAUGGCAGCUUGGGAACUGUGUCCCCCGGUGACCUAAUGAUGUAAAUACCAUUUUAGCCUGCGAGAAAUCUGCUCCCUGAAAUUCACCUGAAAAAAAGUGUAUUUAUCUGACAAAAUUGAGUCAAUCUGCAUUGCUGCCUUUAGUAAUGGAUUAUUCAUAUUAUGCGAUCAAAACCUUCAGUUUUUUCCCUCUCUGCAAAAUCCAUGCUGCAGACCAAAAAGUCAAUUCAAUGCUCCUUCAACCUACUGAGUGGUCAUGUAUGGCUUAUAUAGGACUUUUAAUGGUUUCACUGUCUUGUGAAAUAACAGUCACUGGACUCACCGUUCAUGUUAUUUUCCUUGAAUUACAUCAGUUCAGAUGUUGUUUUCUAAGUGUGUGAAAUAUCUUGUAUUGAGUAUUAUGGUAGCUCUUUGUGAAUGCAAACUACUGUAUGUUACAGCAAAAUAACAAGAAAACCAACUAUUUGUAUAUUUUAUUUAUUCAUUAUUCGUUUUGCUUUUCUAUACUAAGCUAAGAUGUUUGUUAUUUUGUGACUGGUCAUAAACAAUAUAUUACAAAUAAAACAAAAUCUAAAUAUA